rnacentral:rRNA from 1 species
UACGUAGGGGGCUAGCGUUGUCCGGAAUUACUGGGCGUAAAGCGCACGUAGGCGGCUUCUUAAGUCGGUGGUGAAAUCCUGGAGCUCAACUCCAGAACUGCCUUCGAUACUGGGAAGCUUGAGUACGAGAGAGGUGAGUGGAAUUCCCAGUGUAGAGGUGAAAUUCGAGAUAUUGGGAAGAACACCGGUGGCGAAGGCGGCUCACUGGCUCGUAACUGACGCUCAGGCGCGACAGCGUGGGGAUCAAACAGG